rnacentral:rRNA from 1 species
UACAGAGGGUGCAAGCGUUAAUCGGAAUUACUGGGCGUAAAGCGUGCGUAGACGGUUACGUAAGUCGGAUGUGAAAGCCCCGGGCUCAACCUGGGAACUGCGUCUGAGACUGGAAGGCUUGAAUUCGGGAGAGGGAUGCGGAAUUCCAGGUGUAGCGGUGAAAUGCGUAGAUAUCUGGAGGAACACCGGUGGCGAAGGCGGCAUCCUGGACCGGCAUUGACGCUGAGGCGCGAAAGCCAGGGGAGCAAACGGG